UCGAGAAUCUUCCGCAAUGGACGAAAGUCUGACGGAGCGACGCCGCGUGGAGGAUGGAGGCCUUCGGGUUGUAAACUCCUGUCAGGGGUUAGGAAAUUCUGUACGGUUAAUACCCGUGCAGUUUGACAUUAGCCCCAGAGGAAGCACUGGCUAACUACGUGCCAGCAGCCGCGGUAAUACGUAGAGUGCAAACGUUGUUCGGAAUUACUGGGCAUAAAGCGCUUGUAGGUGGCGCGGUAAGUCGGUUGUGAAAGCCCCUGGCUCAACCAGGGAAUUGCUGCCGAAACUACCGUGCUUGAGUGUGAGAGGGGAGAGUGGAACUUCCAGUGGAGCGGUGAAAUGCGUAGAUAUUGGAAGGAACGCCGGUGGCGAAAGCGACUCUCUGGCUCACUACUGACACUGAGGAGCGAAAGCUAGGGUAGCGAACGGGAUUAGAUACCCCGGUAGUCCUAGCCGUAAACGAUGGGCACUAAGUGGAGGGAAUCCUACCAUUCUCUCUU
rnacentral:rRNA from 1 species